AUGAGGACAUCAACACGGCUCUCCUUUAGGGCCCUGUGUCAGCCCCCCAGGAAACAUCUGUAUACCAGACACAUCUGUCUUCAGGGACACAUCUGUCUGCAGGGACACAUCUGUAUAGAGGGACACAUCUGUAUGCAGGGACACAUGUGUAUAGAGGGACACAUGUGUAUAGAGGGACACAUCUGUCUGCAGGGUCACAUCUGUAUAGAGGGACACAUGUGUAUGCAGGGUCCUUGUUAAAUCCACCGGCGGUGUUGCAGAGCUGCUCCCAGAGGCGCCGGUUGCGGGCCGCUUAUUAUAGCUGUGUUUGCACAUGCUUUCCAUGCGCUGUAAGCAGUCCAUGUGGUGGUUGGCCCGAGGGCUGAGACAGUGCGGUAAUGCCCGGACUCGCCCCCGCUGUAUGAAUGGUGGCAGGGGCUGUGUUUACGUUCUGCCCCGGGGGCCGGCCACACCGUCUGUCCACCAGCGGCUCCCUGAACGGGCGCUCUGUACCUGAAGGAGACGGACGCUCUCCCUCCUCCCCAGAGACCCACGUCCACACGGCGCUUUGAGGACAGUGGAACUCUGUCUUCAGAAAUGAACCGCUAUUAGUGUCAGCUUAAGCAGAGUAUGGUUGAAUUAUCUCUGUGAUGGUAACUUUUAUGCACUGUUUUACUCUUGGCCGUGUGUUAUCUGUGGGUUUGGUUGUCACGGUUCCCAGACUUGAGGCCAGGAUUUUCCUUUCUCAUGGCCGGAUCCAAAGUGGUGGAUUUACAGAAGGAUUGUGAAACAAUACAUCCAUCUAUUAUAACGGCUGAUUACUCUGAGAGCCGGCCGUUCUCAAACCAGUUUAGCUCAUAUGGAUGCUCUUGGAUGUCCACACUCCAAUAUAUGUUUCCCACGUUCACAAUGUGAUGGUGACAGUUUGAUACUGAAGACCUAAACAUGAGUUGACCAGAUGUAGGCCAUACAUCACUUUACCUAUUACGUGGAAAAAGAAACACUGAACAAUCCGUGAGUGUUGGGAAUCAUCUGCAGAUUCACAAGCAUGAUCAGCAGCAUCAUUACCCUAACUCUAAGCUCAUAAACUCUGCAAUGUUUUAUGUUGUCAUCUUAGCCUCCUAAUAUCCAUAACAUAACAACCUUGGCAUUUGCCAUUGCGUGUUUCCUGAGGACAACAAGUCAACCAAGAGCACUUUACUCCACGCUUUCCAUUUUGUCACCGUCAUCAAUCAUUAAUGAGUGCCUAAACGCCACCAGCCAAGAGCCAGACUCACAGAUGUGAUGGCAUCACACUACCGCUCUGAGACAUAUGAGCAUUGAUGUGAGACUUAUAAAAGGUUUAUGAACGAGUGACAUCAGCGAACUGGACCCGGUCCUGUAUCAGGGAGAUC
rnacentral:lncRNA from 1 species